UAAUGCCGGAUGCUCCAGUUGAUCGCAUGGUCUUCUGGGAAAGCUUUCGCGGUAUGGGAUGGGGUCGCGUCCUAUCAGCUUGACGGCGGGGUAACGGCCCACCGUGGCUUCGACGGGUAGCCGGCCUGAGAGGGCGACCGGCCACAUUGGGACUGAGAUACGGCCCAGACUCCUACGGGAGGCAGCAGUGGGGAAUAUUGCACAAUGGGCGCAAGCCUGAUGCAGCGACGCCGCGUGAGGGAUGGAGGCCUUCGGGUUGUAAACCUCUUUUAUCGGGGAGCAAGCGAGAGUGAGUUUACCCGUUGAAUAAGCACCGGCUAACUACGUGCCAGCAGCCGCGGUAAUACGUAGGGUGCAAGCGUUAUCCGGAAUUAUUGGGCGUAAAGGGCUCGUAGGCGGUUCGUCGCGUCCGGUGUGAAAGUCCACCGCUUAACGGUGGAUCCGCGCCGGGUACGGGCGGGCUUGAGUGCGGUAGGGGAGACUGGAAUUCCCGGUGUAACGGUGGAAUG
rnacentral:rRNA from 1 species